CUCUUAUCACGAGAGGUGGAGGGAUGUGCCCUUUGAAGCCCGGCAACCGUCUGUAACAGAAAUGGUGCCAAUUCACAUAAAGUUCAUAGAAACUUUAGAAGAUGAGAG
rfam:Staphylococcus saprophyticus subsp. saprophyticus ATCC 15305 DNA, complete genome.